rnacentral:sRNA from 1 species
CAGUCAAUGGCGCAGAGAGCGCGGACCAUGGCACUCUACAACCCCAUCCCCGUCCGACAGAACUGCCUCACGGUUAACCGGUCUCUCUUCCUCUUCAGCGAAGACAACGUGGUGAGAAAAUACGCCAAAAAGAUCACCGAAUGGCCUCCCUUUGAAUAUAUGAUUUUAGCCACCAUCAUAGCGAAUUGCAUCGUCCUCGCACUGGAGCAGCAUCUGCCUGAUGAUGACAAGACCCCGAUGUCUGAACGGCUGGAUGACACAGAACCAUACUUCAUUGGAAUUUUUUGUUUCGAGGCUGGAAUUAAAAUCAUUGCCCUUGGGUUUGCCUUCCACAAAGGCUCCUACUUGAGGAAUGGCUGGAAUGUCAUGGACUUUGUGGUGGUGCUAACGGGCAUCUUGGCGACAGUUGGGACGGAGUUUGACCUACGGACGCUGAGGGCAGUUCGAGUGCUGCGGCCGCUCAAGCUGGUGUCUGGAAUCCCAAGUUUACAAGUCGUCCUGAAGUCGAUCAUGAAGGCGAUGAUCCCUUUGCUGCAGAUCGGCCUCCUCCUAUUUUUUGCAAUCCUUAUUUUUGCAAUCAUAGGGUUAGAAUUUUAUAUGGGAAAAUUUCAUACCACCUGCUUUGAAGAGGGGACAGAUGACAUUCAGGGUGAGUCUCCGGCUCCAUGUGGGACAGAAGAGCCCGCCCGCACCUGCCCCAAUGGGACCAAAUGUCAGCCCUACUGGGAAGGGCCCAACAACGGGAUCACUCAGUUCGACAACAUCCUGUUUGCAGUGCUGACUGUUUUCCAGUGCAUAACCAUGGAAGGGUGGACUGAUCUCCUCUACAAUAGCAACGAUGCCUCAGGGAACACUUGGAACUGGUUGUACUUCAUCCCCCUCAUCAUCAUCGGCUCCUUUUUUAUGCUGAACCUUGUGCUGGGUGUGCUGUCAGGGGAGUUUGCCAAAGAAAGGGAACGGGUGGAGAACCGGCGGGCUUUUCUGAAGCUGAGGCGGCAACAACAGAUUGAACGUGAGCUCAAUGGGUACAUGGAGUGGAUCUCAAAAGCAGAAGAGGUGAUCCUCGCCGAGGAUGACACUGACGGGGAGCAGAGGCAUCCCUUUGAUGGAGCUCUGCGGAGAACCACCAUAAAGAAAAGCAAGACAGAUUUGCUCAACCCCGAAGAGGCUGAGGAUCAGCUGGCUGAUAUAGCCUCUGUGGGUUCUCCCUUCGCCCGAGCCAGCAUUAAAAGUGCCAAGCUGGAGAACUCGACCUUUUUUCACAAAAAGGAGAGGAGGAUGCGUUUCUACAUCCGCCGCAUGGUCAAAACUCAGGCCUUCUACUGGACUGUACUCAGUUUGGUAGCUCUCAACACGCUGUGUGUUGCUAUUGUUCACUACAACCAGCCCGAGUGGCUCUCCGACUUCCUUUACUAUGCAGAAUUCAUUUUCUUAGGACUCUUUAUGUCCGAAAUGUUUAUAAAAAUGUACGGGCUUGGGACGCGGCCUUACUUCCACUCUUCCUUCAACUGCUUUGACUGUGGGGUUAUCAUUGGGAGCAUCUUCGAGGUCAUCUGGGCUGUCAUAAAACCUGGCACAUCCUUUGGAAUCAGCGUGUUACGAGCCCUCAGGUUAUUGCGUAUUUUCAAAGUCACAAAGUACUGGGCAUCUCUCAGAAACCUGGUCGUCUCUCUCCUCAACUCCAUGAAGUCCAUCAUCAGCCUGUUGUUUCUCCUUUUCCUGUUCAUUGUCGUCUUCGCCCUUUUGGGAAUGCAACUCUUCGGCGGCCAGUUUAAUUUCGAUGAAGGGACUCCUCCCACCAACUUCGAUACUUUUCCAGCAGCAAUAAUGACGGUGUUUCAGGGACUGGCUAGUGCUGGACGGGGCAGUCCCUCCAGAGUCAGCAAG